AACGCUAGCUACAGGCUUAACACAUGCAAGUCGAGGGGCAGCAUCAUCAAAGCUUGCUUUGAUGGAUGGCGACCGGCGCACGGGUGAGUAACACGUAUCCAACCUGCCGACAACACUGGGAUAGCCUUUCGAAAGAAAGAUUAAUACCGGAUGGCAUAGUCUUCCCGCAUGGGAUGAUUAUUAAAGAAUUUCGGUUGUCGAUGGGGAUGCGUUCCAUUAGGCAGUUGGCGGGGUAACGGCCCACCAAGCCAUCGAUGGAUAGGGGUUCUGAGAGGAAGGUCCCCCACAUUGGAACUGAGACACGGUCCAAACUCCUACGGGAGGCAGCAGUGAGGAAUAUUGGUCAAUGGGCGUAGGCCUGAACCAGCCAAGUAGCGUGAAGGAUGACUGCCCUAUGGGUUGUAAACUUCUUUUAUAUGGGAAUAAAGUUUUCCACGUGUGGAAUUUUGUAUGUACCAUAUGAAUAAGGAUCGGCUAACUCCGUGCCAGCAGCCGCGGUAAUACGGAGGAUCCGAGCGUUAUCCGGAUUUAUUGGGUUUAAAGGGAGCGUAGGUGGACAGUUAAGUCAGUUGUGAAAGUUUGCGGCUCUACCGUAAAAUUGCAGUUGAUACUGGCUGUCUUGAGUACAGUAGAGGUGGGCGGAAUUCGUGGUGUAGCGGUGAAAUGCUUAGAUAUCACGAAGAACUCCGAUUG
rnacentral:rRNA from 1 species